rnacentral:snRNA from 1 species
GGACGUGAGGGUGAUCCGGCUGCGACAUCUGUCACCCCAUUGAUCGCCAGGGUUGAUUCGGCUGAUCUGGCUGGCUAGGCGGGUGUCCCCUUCCUCCCUCACCGCUCCAUGUGCGUCCUUCCCGAAGCUGCCUGAUUGGUCAAAGAGGACGACCUUCCCCGAAUAGAGGAGGACUGGUCUACAGUCAAGGGUAUACGAGUAGCCGUGCUCCCCUGCUAGAAUCUCCAAACAAGCUCUCAAAUCAUAAAGUGGAUGGGGCUAGAGAGAUUGCUCAGUGGUUAAGGCACUUGCCU